rnacentral:snRNA from 1 species
UUGCUCACUAAGUGCGGGGAAGCUUGGCGAUCAACGAGGCCUUAUACCCCGGGCUGCACUCACAUUGCACUAUGGUGUAGUGUAGCCUGUUCUCUCACCAAAUAGGUGUGAGAAGGCACUAAAUUUUUUAUGCUAAGGCAGCCGAACGGCAGUCUCAA